rnacentral:rRNA from 1 species
UCAGUAACACGUAGUCAACCUAACCUAUGGACGUGGAUAACCUCGGGAAACUGAGAAUAAACCGCGAUAGAUCAUUAUGCCUGGAAUGGCUUAUGGUCCAAACAAUUUAUUGCCGUAGGAUGGGACUGCGGCCUAUCAGCUUGUUGGUGAGGUAAUGGCCCACCAAGGCUAUAACAGGUACGGGCUCUGAGAGGAGAAGCCCGGAGAUGGGUACUGAGACACGGACCCAGGCCCUAUGGGGCGCAGCAGGCGAGAAACCUUAGCAAUGUGCGAAAGCACGACUAGGUUAAUCCGAGUGGUUUCUGCUAAAGAAACCUUUUGUCAGUCGUAAAACCACAGACGAAUAAGGGGUGGGCAAGUCUGGUGCCA